UCACAGGCAUGAGCCACCGCAUCCCCCAGGCUAAAUCUAGCUUUUGCUCAUCCAUCUUUUUGAAAAUGAUGCAAAAAGUUUAGUUGAUAAUGAACUAACAGCAUUCUGUCUUGUCUUGUCUUUUUUCACGGACAGGGUCCGUCUGGCUAUGUUGUACAGGCUGGCCUCCAACUCCUGAGCUCAAGCCAUCCUCCUGCCUCAGCCUUCUGAGUAGCUGAGACUACAGACCCACAGUUGAUUAACGUCACCACCGGACCUGGGAAAAAUGGCUUAUGGGCAGUUUCACGUCAUAAAAUCUUCUUGCUAUUAUUAAACAGAAAAAAACGCCUGUGAGCUCAAAGAAGGAGAGUGCUGUUCAUGAGGUUGGAGGCAUUUUGCAAUGGUUGUUGUGGAAGAUAAAGCCCAGCCUAGCAUAUGCUCUUUCAAAGGAAGUUCUCAGGAAUAUCCUGUAUAUGGCACCAGACCUCAGACAAUUCAGGCCUCUUUCUUGAUCCAGGAGAGAAUCAACUCUGAUAAGAAACAUCUACAAUCUAUUCUCUCUGAAGCCUGCUACCUGGAAGCUUCUUUUGUGUAAUGGGAACCUUGAUUCCCAUUUAGGGGGAACCCAGACAUUCCUUUCUAUUGAUUCUAGAUUUUUAGAUAAUAACCUCUGUCUACCAAUUGCCAAUCAGAAAGUCUUUGAAUCCCCCUGUGACCUGAAAGCCCCACCUUGCUUCGAGUUGUCCUGUCUUUCCAGACCAAAUCAGUGUACAUACUACAUGUAUUGAUUGAUGUCAUAUGUUUUCCUAAAAUGUUUGAAACCAAGCUGUAGCC